UGGGGAAUUUUGGACAAUGGGCGAAAGCCUGAUCCAGCAAUGCCGCGUGUGUGAAGAAGGCCUUCGGGUUGUAAAGCACUUUUGUCCGGAAAGAAAUCCUUGGCUCUAAUACAGUCGGGGGAUGACGGUACCGGAAGAAUAAGCACCGGCUAACUACGUGCCAGCAGCCGCGGUAAUACGUAGGGUGCAAGCGUUAAUCGGAAUUACUGGGCGUAAAGCGUGCGCAGGCGGUUUGCUAAGACCGAUGUGAAAUCCCCGGGCUCAACCUGGGAACUGCAUUGGUGACUGGCAGGCUAGAGUAUGGCAGAGGGGGGUAGAAUUCCACGUGUAGCAGUGAAAUGCGUAGAGAUGUGGAGGAAUACCGAUGGCGAAGGCAGCCCCCUGGGCCAAUACUGACGCUCAUGCACGAAAGCGUGGGGAGCAAACAGGAUUAGAUACCCUGGUAGUCCACGCCCUAAACGAUGUCAACUAGUUGUUGGGGAUUCAUUCUUAGUAACGUAGCUAACGCGUGAAGUUGACCGCCUGGGGAGUGCGGUCGCAAGAUUAAACUUAAUG
rnacentral:rRNA from 1 species